GGAUGUGAGGGCCAUCUGGCUGUGACAACACUGAUCACCAGGGUUGAUUCGGCUGAUCUGGCUGACUAGAUGGGUGUCCGCUUCCUCCCUCAGCUCUCCAUCGGAGUCCUCCUGAAGCUACACACUCAGUAGCAGAGGAUGACCUUCCUUGUUGACCGUUCUUUGGUCAAGGGUAUCUGAGUAGCUGUGUCCCCUCAAGGUAACUAUGACUUUGGGGAUGAAGUUUCAACAUGAAUUAUGAGGAAACAGACACCUAGACCAUGGCACAUCUUUACAGUAAAAGCACUAAGCAUUUGUGGGAAGUGU
rnacentral:sRNA from 1 species